UAUUCUCAAAUUUUCAAUGAGUAUGACGUCUUGCUUGCUUGAAUGAAGCAUAGAUAUUGAAUGUGUGCUACAAGAUGGACCAUUUCUGGUAAGCAGAAUUGGCACUGUGAAAUAAACGA
rfam:Onchocerca flexuosa genome assembly, scaffold: OFLC_contig0028857